AUGCUUAUUCCCAAGGUUAAGAGAGCUAGAAAAGUGGAGCAUUAUAGGCCUAUUUCCCUUGCUAAUUUUAAGCAUAAAAUCAUCACUAAACUCCUUGUUGACAUGUUGGCUUGCAUUCUUCAUAAGACUAUAUCCAAAGAGAAAAAUGCUUUGCGAAAACCUACCACCCAACAGAUUUAUUUUUUAUUCAGAACAAGAUUGGUGAAGUCUGGAAUCACAGUGACAGGUGUUUGUUUCGUAAUAUAG